UUUAUUUUUCUUUCUUUUGUCAGAUAAAAAAGUAUGGAUUAUAAAUGUAGAAUCAAAUUAUCACAGAUUUAUUAUCUAGACUAUUAAAUAAACAGUAUGCCUUUAAGUCAGAAAGAGAGAGGAGAGCUGCCUCUUUAAAUGUCAGGAAAAUAAAAUAAGGAGAAGAGCAGUGACAAAGGAUAAUUUGAUGGCGAGGCAUGGGAAGAACAGCUGCCUGCAAAAUUUUGGAGGCAUUAGAGCCAGAAGUCCCUUAGAAGAUAGGUAA
rnacentral:lncRNA from 1 species